GGUUGGCCAGGAUUAACAGAUGACCACUGGUCAUUUCAAGGUCAUUCAUUUGAAGGUCAAGGUCACUGUGACCUUCAAUAUAAAAAAUGUUAAAGUUGUUAUAACUUUGGUAUGCUUGGACCUAGAGUCUUGAAACUUGACAUGAAGGUUGGCCAGGAUUAACAGAUGACCACUGGUCAUUUCAAGGUCAUUCAUUUGAAGGUGAAGGUCACUGUGACCUUCAAUAUAAAAAUGUUAAAGUUGUUAUAACUUUGGUAUGCUUGGACCUAGAGUCUUGAAACUUGACAUGAAGGUUGGCCAGAACUAGUAAGUAACCACUGGACAUUUCAAGGUCAUUCAUUUGAAGGUCAAGGUCACUGUGACCUUGAAUGUAAAAAUGUUAAAGUUGUUAUAACUUUGGUAUGCUUGGACCUAGAGUCUUGAAACUUGACAUGAAGGUUGGCCAGAACUAGUAAGUAACCACUGGACAUUUCAAGGUCAUUCAUUUGAAGGUCAAGGUCACUGUGACCUUGAAUGUAAAAAUGUUAAAGUUCUUAUUUCAUGUUAUAACUUUGGUAUGCUUGUACCUAGAGUCUUCAAACUUGAAAUAAAGAUUGGCCAGUACUAGAAGAUGACCACUGGUCAUUUCAAUGUCAUUCAUUUGAAGGUCAAGGUCACUGUGACCUUAAAUGUUAAAAUGUUAAAAUUGUUAUAACUUUGGUA